rnacentral:rRNA from 1 species
UACGUAGGGCGCAAGCGUUAUCCGGAAUUAUUGGGCGUAAAGAGCUCGUAGGCGGCUUGUCGCGUCGAAUGUGAAAGCCCCGGGCUCAACCUGGGAACGGCGCUUGGGACGGGAUGGCUAGAGAUCGGGAGAGGAGAGUGGAAUUCCCAGUGUAGAGGUGAAAUUCGUAGAUAUUGGGAAGAACACCAGUGGCGAAGGCGGCUCUCUGGACCGAUACUGACGCUGAGGCGCGAAAGCGUGGGGAGCAAACAGG